rnacentral:rRNA from 1 species
AUGAAGGCAGGCAAGGAUAACAGGACAAGUAGCAUUGCAAUCAAGAAAUUUCAAGGUAAAUACACCUGCACUAAAGCUUGGGAUCUCAAAGUGUUGACUACACCUUUUCUUACAAGAAAGAUCAGGAAAGUGUUCAGAGAUAAUGAGAAAAUGUCCUUUAAGAAAUCCCAAGACAAAGUGCAGGUUGAAUACAACAUGAUUUCAACUAGAUUCAAAUUGGGAAGGGCGAGGAGAGCAGUUGUUAAGGAGAUUAGAGGUGAAGAUGAUGACCAAUUCAAAUGGAUGUGGGAUUAUGGGCAGGAGCUUAGAAGAACUAACCCAGGCAGCAAGUUUUUCCUUUGCACAAAGGAAGUGAUAGAUGAGAAAACUAGAUUGCACAAGAUCAUUUCUCAACUUUGUAGUGGUCAAUAG